AAGAAUCAUACUCUUUUCAAGCAUAUGCACCUAUAAUGUAUUCUUUUGAAAUUCAUGAUUCACAUAAAUGCUUUUGUUCAAGUGUUUUGUCAUCAUCAAAAAGGGGGAGAUUGUUGCUCCUAGUUUGAUUUUGAUGAUUACAAAGCAGAUUGAAGGGAUACAAAUAUUUUUAUUUGAAAAAGUCUUUAUGCUCUUCAGGGGCA
rnacentral:lncRNA from 1 species